UACGAAUGGGGCCAGCGUUGCUCGGAAUGACUGGGCGUAAAGGGCGCGUAGGCGGCUCUCAUCGUCGGGCGUGAAAUUCCUGGGCUUAACCUGGGGGCUGCGUUCGAUACGUGGGGGCUUGAGUGUGGGAGAGGGUCGUGGAAUUCCCAGUGUAGAGGUGAAAUUCGUAGAUAUUGGGAAGAACACCGGUGGCGAAGGCGGCGCACUGGUCCAUGACUGACGCUGAGGCGCGAAAGCGUGGGGAGCAAACAGG
rnacentral:rRNA from 1 species